GAGUUUGAUCCYGGCUCAGAUUGAACGCUGGCGGCAUGCUUUACACAYGCAAGUCGAGCGGCAGCGCGGGGGCAACCCYGGCGGCGAGCGGCGAACGGGUGAGUAAUACAUCGGAACGUACCCCGUAGUGGGGGAUAACGCCGGGAAACSGGSGCUAAUACCGCAUAUGCUCUACGGAGGAAAGUGGGGGACCUGCAAGGGCCUCAUGCUAUGGGAGCGGCCGAUGUCCGAUUAGCUAGUUGGUGGGGUAAAGGCUUACCAAGGCGACGAUCGGUAGCUGGUCUGAGAGGAUGAUCAGCCACACUGGGACUGAGACACGGCCCAGACUCCUACGGGAGGCAGCAGUGGGGAAUUUUGGACAAUGGGGGCAACCCUGAUCCAGCCAUUCCGCGUGAGUGAAGAAGGCCUUCGGGUUGUAAAGCUCUUUCAGGAGGGAAGAAACGGUUUCAGCUAAUACCUGAGACUAAUGACGGUACCUUCAGAAGAAGCACCGGCUAACUACGUGCCAGCAGCCGCGGUAAUAC
rnacentral:rRNA from 1 species